AAAACCCCUGAAAGAAAAACACCCAAAUCGAAAGACCAAGAAGAAAACGAAAAGCACAGAAAUCGCAAGCGAAUUGGCAAAAAUGUUCGGUCGAAGCAGGUUCCUCUCGUUUCCGAUGGUAAUUGGAGCAGUCAUAAUUGGAGUUGUUUCUGGGAAGGCAAUAUUUGGACCCCCACUUGAUGAGUACUGGAAAAAGAAGCAUCAGGAAGAGGCAGCUGCAAAGGAGACUGAUGCAAGCUCAAGUUAGCAGAUUUUAUAGUGAACUUCCUCAAGUUUGGACAUCUCAUUAAGGUCCAAAGCCAGGGGAUCACUGUUCCGGUUUUCUUUUUUAGGAGGCUCAAGCAGAUUCAUAUGUCUGAUGUGCUUGAUAUUUUUUUUGAAGAAAUCGGAAGAGGGGAAAAGCCGAUGACAUUGGAUGCAUAGGGUCCCUAACUAAUGGAAAGAUACAGUAAGUUCUGUCAGUCUUUCUGGUUAAAGAAAAACCACACACAAGUUCUGUAUUUGUUCGAUUGUUUUUUGAGUUGCAAAUUUCCGGUGAACACUGUUAUUGAACCUUAUUAGCAAUACCAUCUGGGAAACGCUCCUUGUAGAUUUUCAAUAUCUCUUGGAUAUGCCAUUCACUAUUAUAAAAUUGAUAGGAAAAUCUGAUUGAUAUUCUGUUCGUGCACCUUGUAAGGAAGAAUGACAAUGCACAUUAUUUGGAGAUUCAUUUCCUUCCGUUUCAUUUCUA